rnacentral:rRNA from 1 species
AUGUAUCAGAUGAGAAAGUUGUGGUGUGCUCCAUAUCUUGAGGGGCGUUGUUUCCUAGGAUUGAGCAGUAACCAGAGGAGUGAGAGCUUGAACUCUGUGCUACAUACACAUCUUGAGGGUAAGAUGUCGUUGUUUGAAAUGCUAGAGCACUAUGAACGUUGCCUUGCGUCGCGACGGAUUAACGAAGCUCUCCAAGACGUCGAAGCCUUGCAGUCCGUUCCAUUUACAGAGGAAAAUGCUUCGCCGCUUGAGAAACACGCCGCAACAGUUUUCACACCUAGUGUCUUUAAGAUGGUCUUAUGGAGCAUAGAUGCUAUCAGCAAAUGUCAGAUCAGAGAGAUACUAGAUGGAUCAGAAGAUUCCACUUAUGUUGUGUCCAAGCAGGAAAGAAUGGAUAAAAAGUUUGGAGUGUGCAUUGAAGAGCAAGGAGGUCUUUUGCACAGGGUGAGUUGUUCUUGCCGUAAGCUGGAAUGCGCAGCAGGCACACCAUGUUCCCACAUUUUUUACAUAUUGGGGAUGUUAAAACAAACAAUUCUGCCCAGUUGUUGCGUUCCCACUAGGUGGACUAUGAAUGCAAAAUGUGCAUACGCACCUACCAGAAAAAACCAGAUGUAUGACUAUUCGGUAAGCCUGCAGAGGUACCGCGAGUUGCGGAAUUGUAGUCACGCCGCAAGUUUCAAGGCAUGCCACUCUGAUGAGGAGACUAUCACCGUCUAA